GGUGACGAGUGGCGGACGGGUGAGUAAUGUCUGGGAAACUGCCCGAUGGAGGGGGAUAACUACUGGAAACGGUAGCUAAUACCGCAUAACGUCGCAAGACCAAAGAGGGGGACCUUCGGGCCUCUUGCCAUCGGAUGUGCCCAGAUGGGAUUAGCUAGUAGGUGGGGUAACGGCUCACCUAGGCGACGAUCCCUAGCUGGUCUGAGAGGAUGACCAGCCACACUGGAACUGAGACACGGUCCAGACUCCUACGGGAGGCAGCAGUGGGGAAUAUUGCACAAUGGGCGCAAGCCUGAUGCAGCCAUGCCGCGUGUAUGAAGAAGGCCUUCGGGUUGUAAAGUACUUUCAGCGAGGAGGAAGGCGUUGUGGUUAAUAACCGCAA
rnacentral:rRNA from 1 species